UUGUGUUGGAGUUGGUGUUUCUGUUUUAACAUUUUAAAUUUGAACAAUUCUUCCUCUCCCUCCGUCAUUAUGAUCCUAAAGUACACAAUGUUCUUUUCUCUGCAGAGAUGAAAUGAAGGGAUUUUUCAUUCUUCAUUCUUCCACUGAAGUACAGAUGCUUUGUUUUCCAGAUGAUAACGUUGGUCCAGUCGUCUCCACAACAUUGGUUUGACUCAAACGUUCACCUCUUCAUGAUCCUCAGAGGAUGAACAGAGGCUGUCGAUUCGUCCACUGCAGGUGAAGAUCCAAUCCAGACCUUCACCCUCUGGGCUCAUCUGAAGUCUGAGGCAUGUGGACUCUACAGGAAGUCCACAGGAAGUAGACAGGAAGUAGAUAGGAAGUCCAUAGCUGUCCUGCACAAAGGGCGUGUGCCGCCAAAAUAUUCCUCCUGAAGAAAAACAGUCAAAACAUUGAACUUCCUUUUUUGCGGCACCAAUCAUUCAACCACUCACAAGUCUUUCUCAGCUGUCAAUCACGACGUCUCGGCCCAUUUUCAUAUCAUCACAUAACUAAUUCAAACCACAAAACCACAACAAAUUGGAAACAUUUGGUGAACAUCUUUUAGUUUGGUCCAGCAGUACUGCAGCCAGCCACCAGGGGGGCAAUCCAGAGGAGCCUUCCUGUCGUCAGUCUUCAUUUACAGUCACGUUGUCCGAUGUGUCUCAGUUGUUUCUGUUUGAGAACCAACGAGGUCGAAUGAUCCAAUCUUUAAAAUAUCAGAGAAAAAUCUGACAACAUCUGAACUUUCUCCAUGAGUCAUGUGACGACCCCUCAGGUUCAUCAGACGACCCUCUGCAGGGGCCCCACCCCCCAUGUAGAGAACCAGUCACCUCAACUGAUCUGAAUGUAUAUAUAUACUGUAUGUACGUAUAUAUAUAAAAUGUAGUUGGAGCAGCUGGAUCAAUGAUCCGAUCAGAGAUCAGUCACAGCACAUUGAGUUUUAACACCUUACACUGAUGAUACUUUUACUUACGCAG
rnacentral:lncRNA from 1 species